rnacentral:rRNA from 1 species
UACGAAGGGGGCUAGCGUUGCUCGGAAUCACUGGGCGUAAAGGGUGCGUAGGCGGGUUCUUAAGUCAGAGGUGAAAUCCUGGAGCUCCAAGUCCAGAACUGCCUUUGAUACUGAGAGUCUUGAGUAUGACAGAGGUGAGUGGAACUGCGAGUGUAGAGGUGAAAUUCGUAGAUAAUUCGCAAGAACACCGGUGGCGAAGGCGGCCAACUGGAACCAUUACUGACGCUGAGGCGCGAAAGCAUGGGGAGCGAACAGG